rnacentral:rRNA from 1 species
GACGAACGCUGGCGGCGUGCUUAACACAUGCAAGUCGAACGGAGUGGCGAACGGGGGAGUAACACGUGGGUGAUCUGCCUUGCACUUCGGGAUAAGCUUGGGAAACUGGGUAUAAAACCGGAUCGUGCAAGCUGAGGUCGCGGCCUCUCAGCUUGUUGGUGGGGUAAUGGCCUACCAAGGCGUAAACGGGUUGCCGGCCUGAGAGGGUGUACGGCCACAUUGGGACUGAGAUACGGCCCAGACUCCUACGGGAGGCAGCAGUGGGGAAUAGUGCACAAUGGGCGGAAGCCUGAUUCCGCGACGCCGCGUGGGGGAUGAAGGCCUUCGGGUUGUAAACUCCUUUCGACAGGGACGCGGUACCUGUAUAAGAAGCACCGGCUAACUACGUGCCAGCAGCCGCGGUAAUUC